GAUGAAGAACGUAGCGAAAUGCGAUACUUGGUGUGAAUUGCAGAAUCCCGUGAACCAUCGAGUCUUUGAACGCAAGUUGCGCCCGAAGCCACUAGGCCGAGGGCACGCCUGCCUGGGCGUCACACGUCGUUGCCCCCCCAUCUACUCCUUCGGGCUUGCGGGGGGGCGGAUGAUGGCCUCCCGUGCGCCUAGCCGCGCGGUUGGCAUAAAUACCAAGUCCUCGGCGACGCACGCCACGACAAUCGGUGGUUGCGAAACCUCGGUUGCCCGUCGUGUGCGUUCGUCGCGCAUCGAGGGCUCGAAAAAAUGCUCGGCUUCGGCUCGGCUUUCAACGCGACCCCAGGUCAGGCGGGGUUACCCGCUGAAUUUAAGCAUAUCAAUAAGCGGAGGA
rnacentral:misc_RNA from 1 species